rnacentral:rRNA from 1 species
GAUGAACGCUGGCGGCGUGCCUAAUACAUGCAAGUCGAGCGAACAGACGAGGAGCUUGCUCCUCUGACGUUAGCGGCGGACGGGUGAGUAACACGUGGAUAACCUACCUAUAAGACUGGGAUAACUUCGGGAAACCGGAGCUAAUACCGGAUAAUAUAUUGAACCGCAUGGUUCAAUAGUGAAAGACGGUUUUGCUGUCACUUAUAGAUGGAUCCGCGCCGCAUUAGCUAGUUGGUAAGGUAACGGCUUACCAAGGCAACGAUGCGUAGCCGACCUGAGAGGGUUAUCGGCCACACGGGAACCGAGACACGGUCCAGACUCCUACGGGAGGCAGCAGUAGGGAAUCUUCCGCAAUGGGCGAAAGCCUGACGGAGCAACGCCGCGUGAGUGAUGAAGGUCUUCGGAUCGUAAAACUCUGUUAUUAGGGAAGAACAAAUGUGUAAGUAACUAUGCACGUCUUGACGGUACCUAAUCAGAAAGCCACGGCUAACUACGUG